GGGUUGUGAGGUUAAGCGACUAAGCGUACACGGUGGAUGCCCUGGCAGUCAGAGGCGAUGAAGGACGUGCUAAUCUGCGAUAAGCGUCGGUAAGGUGAUAUGAACCGUUAUAACCGGCGAUUUCCGAAUGGGGAAACCCAGUGUGUUUCGACACACUAUCAUUAACUGAAUCCAUAGGUUAAUGAGGCGAACCGGGGGAACUGAAACAUCUAAGUACCCCGAGGAAAAGAAAUCAACCGAGAUUCCCCCAGUAGCGGCGAGCGAACGGGGAGGAGCCCAGAGCCUGAAUCAGUGUGUGUGUUAGUGGAAGCGUCUGGAAAGGCGCGCGAUACAGGGUGACAGCCCCGUACACAAAAAUGCACAUGCUGUGAGCUCGAUGAGUAGGGCGGGACACGUGGUAUCCUGUCUGAAUAUGGGGGGACCAUCCUCCAAGGCUAAAUACUCCUGACUGACCGAUAGUGAACCAGUACCGUGAGGGAAAGGCGAAAAGAACCCCGGCGAGGGGAGUGAAAAAGAACCUGAAACCGUGUACGUACAAGCAGUGGGAGCACAGAGCAAUCUGUGUGACUGCGUACCUUUUGUAUAAUGGGUCAGCGACUUAUAUUCUGUAGCAAGGUUAACCGAAUAGGGGAGCCGAAGGGAAACCGAGUCUUAACUGGGCGUUAAGUUGCAGGGUAUAGACCCGAAACCCGGUGAUCUAGCCAUGGGCAGGUUGAAGGUUGGGUAACACUAACUGGAGGACCGAACCGACUAAUGUUGAAAAAUUAGCGGAUGACUUGUGGCUGGGGGUGAAAGGCCAAUCAAACCGGGAGAUAGCUGGUUCUCCCCGAAAGCUAUUUAGGUAGCGCCUCGUGAAUUCAUCUCCGGGGGUAGAGCACUGUUUCGGCAAGGGGGUCAUCCCGACUUACCAACCCGAUGCAAACUGCGAAUACCGGAGAAUGUUAUCACGGGAGACACACGGCGGGUGCUAACGUCCGUCGUGAAGAGGGAAACAACCCAGACCGCCAGCUAAGGUCCCAAAGUCAUGGUUAAGUGGGAAACGAUGUGGGAAGGCCCAGACAGCCAGGAUGUUGGCUUAGAAGCAGCCAUCAUUUAAAGAAAGCGUAAUAGCUCACUGGUCGAGUCGGCCUGCGCGGAAGAUGUAACGGGGCUAAACCAUGCACCGAAGCUGCGGCAGCGACGCUUAUGCGUUGUUGGGUAGGGGAGCGUUCUGUAAGCCUGUGAAGGUGUACUGUGAGGUAUGCUGGAGGUAUCAGAAGUGCGAAUGCUGACAUAAGUAACGAUAAAGCGGGUGAAAAGCCCGCUCGCCGGAAGACCAAGGGUUCCUGUCCAACGUUAAUCGGGGCAGGGUGAGUCGACCCCUAAGGCGAGGCCGAAAGGCGUAGUCGAUGGGAAACAGGUUAAUAUUCCUGUACUUGGUGUUACUGCGAAGGGGGGACGGAGAAGGCUAUGUUGGCCGGGCGACGGUUGUCCCGGUUUAAGCGUGUAGGCUGGUUUUCCAGGCAAAUCCGGAAAAUCAAGGCUGAGGCGUGAUGACGAGGCACUACGGUGCUGAAGCAACAAAUGCCCUGCUUCCAGGAAAAGCCUCUAAGCAUCAGGUAACAUCAAAUCGUACCCCAAACCGACACAGGUGGUCAGGUAGAGAAUACCAAGGCGCUUGAGAGAACUCGGGUGAAGGAACUAGGCAAAAUGGUGCCGUAACUUCGGGAGAAGGCACGCUGAUAUGUAGGUGAAGUCCCUCGCGGAUGGAGCUGAAAUCAGUCGAAGAUACCAGCUGGCUGCAACUGUUUAUUAAAAACACAGCACUGUGCAAACACGAAAGUGGACGUAUACGGUGUGACGCCUGCCCGGUGCCGGAAGGUUAAUUGAUGGGGUCAGCGCAAGCGAAGCUCUUGAUCGAAGCCCCGGUAAACGGCGGCCGUAACUAUAACGGUCCUAAGGUAGCGAAAUUCCUUGUCGGGUAAGUUCCGACCUGCACGAAUGGCGUAAUGAUGGCCAGGCUGUCUCCACCCGAGACUCAGUGAAAUUGAACUCGCUGUGAAGAUGCAGUGUACCCGCGGCAAGACGGAAAGACCCCGUGAACCUUUACUAUAGCUUGACACUGAACAUUGAGCCUUGAUGUGUAGGAUAGGUGGGAGGCUUUGAAGUGUGGACGCCAGUCUGCAUGGAGCCGACCUUGAAAUACCACCCUUUAAUGUUUGAUGUUCUAACGUUGACCCGUAAUCCGGGUUGCGGACAGUGUCUGGUGGGUAGUUUGACUGGGGCGGUCUCCUCCUAAAGAGUAACGGAGGAGCACGAAGGUUGGCUAAUCCUGGUCGGACAUCAGGAGGUUAGUGCAAUGGCAUAAGCCAGCUUGACUGCGAGCGUGACGGCGCGAGCAGGUGCGAAAGCAGGUCAUAGUGAUCCGGUGGUUCUGAAUGGAAGGGCCAUCGCUCAACGGAUAAAAGGUACUCCGGGGAUAACAGGCUGAUACCGCCCAAGAGUUCAUAUCGACGGCGGUGUUUGGCACCUCGAUGUCGGCUCAUCACAUCCUGGGGCUGAAGUAGGUCCCAAGGGUAUGGCUGUUCGCCAUUUAAAGUGGUACGCGAGCUGGGUUUAGAACGUCGUGAGACAGUUCGGUCCCUAUCUGCCGUGGGCGCUGGAGAACUGAGGGGGGCUGCUCCUAGUACGAGAGGACCGGAGUGGACGCAUCACUGGUGUUCGGGUUGUCAUGCCAAUGGCACUGCCCGGUAGCUAAAUGCGGAAGAGAUAAGUGCUGAAAGCAUCUAAGCACGAAACUUGCCCCGAGAUGAGUUCUCCCUGACUCCUUGAGAGUCCUGAAGGAACGUUGAAGACGACGACGUUGAUAGGCCGGGUGUGUAAGCGCAGCGAUGCGUUGAGCUAACCGGUACUAAUGAACCGUGAGGCUUAACCUUACAACGCCGAAG
rnacentral:rRNA from 1 species